GACGAACGCUGGCGGCGCGCCUAACACAUGCAAGUCGAACGAGCGAGAGAGAGCUUGCUUUCUCGAGCGAGUGGCGAACGGGUGAGUAACGCGUGAGGAACCUGCCUCAAAGAGGGGGACAACAGUUGGAAACGACUGCUAAUACCGCAUAAGCCCACGGCUCGGCAUCGAGCAGGGGGAAAAGGAGCAAUCCGCUUUGAGAUGGCCUCGCGUCCGAUUAGCUAGUUGGUGAGGUAACGGCCCACCAAGGCAACGAUCGGUAGCCGGACUGAGAGGUUGAACGGCCACAUUGGGACUGAGACACGGCCCAGACUCCUACGGGAGGCAGCAGUGGGGAAUAUUGCACAAUGGGGGAAACCCUGAUGCAGCGACGCCGCGUGGAGGAAGAAGGUCUUCGGAUUGUAAACUCCUGUUGUUGGGGAAGAUAAUGACGGUACCCAACAAGGAAGUGACGGCUAACUACGUG
rnacentral:rRNA from 1 species